UGCUGGGUAUCUUUGUGGUGAUGGAAAAGUUGUUGGCUGAUGGCUGAUGCAGAACAAAUGAGCAGAACUGACACCACAUUCUAGAAAAUGUGGCUGGUGUUAAAUUGUCAGCAGCAGUGUGACCAGAAUCAAACUGGAAAGUGAACAAACCAAUUAUCUUUGAUACUACUCUGCUACAUUACGGUCCUCGAAUGGGAUAUAGCUGCUGGUUUUUCUGAUUCAUGUCUUGCAGCUGCCUUCUGAUGAAAGAGGCUUACCGAUCCUUUUUGGAGAAAAAGUCAGAUGCUGGAU
rnacentral:lncRNA from 1 species